rnacentral:rRNA from 1 species
CAGUCGCCGCGGUAAUACGGAGGGUGCAAGCGUUAUCCGGAUUUAUUGGGUUUAAAGGGUCCGUAGGCGGAUCUGUAAGUCAGUGGUGAAAUCUCACAGCUUAACUGUGAAACUGCCAUUGAUACUGCAGGUCUUGAGUAAAUUUGAAGUGGCUGGAAUAAGUAGUGUAGCGGUGAAAUGCAUAGAUAUUACUUAGAACACCAAUUGCGAAGGCAGGUCACUAAGAUUUAACUGACGCUGAUGGACGAAAGCGUGGGGAGCGAACAGGAUUAGAUCCCCCGUAGUCCCUGUCUCUUAUACA